AGCAGCCGCGGUAAUUCCAGCUCCAAUAGCGUAUAUUAAAGUUGUUGCAGUUAAAAAGCUCGUAGUUGAAUUUCGGGAUCAAUACGUCGGUCGUGCUUUCGGGUACGUACUGGCGUCAUUGGUUUCUCCUUUCUGACGAACCAUGAUGUCAUUAAUUUGGUGUUAUGGGGAGUUAGGACUGUUACUUUGAAAAAAUUGAGUGUUUAAAGCAGGCUCGCGCUUGAAUACAUUAGCAUGGAAUAAUGAAAUAGGACGUUGACCCUAUUUUGUUGGUUUCUAGGAUUGACGUAAUGAUUAAUAGGGAUAGUUGGGGGCAUUAGUAUUCAAUUGUCAGAGGUGAAAUUCUUGGAUUUAUUGAAGACUAACUACUGCGAAAGCAUUUGCCAAGGAUGUUUUCAUUGAUCAAGAACGAAAGUUAGGGAUCGGAAGACGAUCAGAUACCGUCGUAGUCUUAACCAUAAACUAUAGCCGACUAGGGAUCGGAUGAUGUUAUUUUAUGUACUUC
rnacentral:rRNA from 1 species